UACGGAGGAUGCAAGCGUUGUUCGGAAUUAUUGGGCGUAAAGCGCGUGUAGGCGGCUAUCUAAGUCUGGUGUGAAAGCCCUGGGCUCAACCCGGGAAGUGCACUGGAUACUGGAUAGCUAGAGGACGAGAGAGGAGAGUGGAAUUCCUGGUGUAGGGGUGAAAUCGUAGAUAUCAGGAGGAACAUCAGUGGCGAAGGCGGCUCUCUGGCUCGUAUCUGACGCUGAGACGCGAAAGCGUGGGGAGCAAACAGG
rnacentral:rRNA from 1 species